rnacentral:rRNA from 1 species
GGACGAACGCUGGCGGCGUGCCUAAUACAUGCAAGUCGAGCGAAUCANUGGGAGCUUGCUCCCGGUGGUUAGCGGCGGACGGGUGAGUAACACGUGGGCAACCUGCCUGUAAGACUGGGAUAACACCGGGAAACCGGUGCUAAUACCGGAUAAUCCUUUUCCUCUCAUGAGGAAAAGNUGAAAGUCGGUUUCGGCUGACACUUACAGAUGGGCCCGCGGCGCAUUAGCUAGUUGGUGAGGUAACGGCUCACCAAGGCGACGAUGCGUAGCCGACCUGAGAGGGUGAUCGGCCACACUGGGACUGAGACACGGCCCAGACUCCUACGGGAGGCAGCAGUAGGGAAUCUUCCACAAUGGACGAAAGUCUGAUGGAGCAACGCCGCGUGAGCGAUGAAGGCCUUCGGGUCGUAAAGCUCUGUUGUUAGGGAAGAACAAGUACCGGAGUAACUGCCGGUACCUGACGGUACCUAACC